rnacentral:rRNA from 1 species
UACGUAGGGCGCAAGCGUUGUCCGGAAUUAUUGGGCGUAAAGAGCUUGUAGGUGGCUUGUCGCGUCUGCCGUGAAAACCCGAGGCUCAACCUCGGGCGUGCGGUGGGUACGGGCAGGCUAGAGUGUGGUAGGGGAGACUGGAACUCCUGGUGUAGCGGUGAAAUGCGCAGAUAUCAGGAAGAACACCGAUGGCGAAGGCAGGUCUCUGGGCCAUUACUGACACUGAGAAGCGAAAGCAUGGGUAGCGAACAGGAUUAGAUACCCUGGUAGUCCAUGCCGUAAACGUUGGGCACUAGGUGUGGGGGACAUUCCACGUUUUCCGCGCCGUAGCUAACGCAUUAAGUGCCCCGCCUGGGGAGUACGGCCGCAAGGCUAAA